ACUCACAACUGGGGAUCCUUCAAAUUCAGUUCCUGGGGCUGCAGCGUAUCCGCCACCUCCUCCUCCAGCGAUGUCUCCUUUUCUUGAUGGGCAUGGGCAAUAGGCAGCAUCUUCUCCAGAAGCUCCGGCGGAUCCUGGAAGACCUGGGAAUCCAUCUGGUCCCUUCUCUCCUUGUGGUCCUUGUGGUCCAGUCUCUCCCUGUGCUCCAGCUGAACCAUCCUCUCCACGCUCUCCUGGAAGACCCUCGUCUCCUGCAAGACCAUCCAUUCCAGUCGGUCCUUUUGGUCCUGGUGCUCCUUUAGCAAAUCCUUUUCCGUCAGCUCCACUGGUUCCUUUCUCUCCUGCUGGUCCCAUUGGUCCUGGAUGCCCAUGGUCUCCUUCUGGUCCAUCAUCUCCUGGUGCACCAUCGCGGCCUGCGUUUCCUGGAGCUCCUUUAUCUCCCUUCUCACCACGUGGUCCACGUUUUCCUUUGUAUCCAGCAACACCUGGUGGUCCUGCUGGGCAAGCAGUGCAAAGAUCUCCAGCUUGGCUUGCAGUCUGCUCAUUGCUUCCAUCAGCUCCAUCUUUUCCUGGAGUUCCAUCGGUUCCGUCGGUUCCUGGCUCUCCGGCUGAUCCUGAUUCACCCUUUGGUCCUGCUGGGCAAG
ensembl:ncRNA F49H12.12 ncRNA